CUGAUCCAAUCAAUGCGCUACCCCCACUUGGAGCGGAGCGCAUAUUCAAAUCCACUUUUUGGAGCGCAUUGCAUAUUCAAACCCGCGCAUUUGGAGCCAAACCCACUUGGAGCGCAUUUGGAGCGCAUUUAACCCACUUGGUUCAACAAUUUCAAAGGUACGUAGCUAUUUUUGGGCCGGCUAAUGUUGUGGUAAUGUUAUUUCAACCUGCUAGCUAGCAGAUAGAUUAUGCUAAUCUUAGCUGUGGUAAUGUCAUUUCUACCUGCUAGCGAGCUAAAUCUGGUUAAAAUAUUAGGUAACAAAGUAAGAUUAAUUACUGCAGAUUAAUCACUGUAUUUGAGUGAUUGUUAAUGGUUAGUGGUUAUCUUUCAAAUGAUGCCUGUGAGGCACUUGACGUUGAGACUGGUUGACUUCCAGGCUGCUUUGGAAUAAGGAUACCUCUGAGGCAGCCACCAGUUUUUGGAUAACUCUGAGGCAUCAUAGGUCGUGUUGACUGCCAGGCUGCCUAGUCGUUGGUAUACAGGUUAACUCACAGGCAUCCAGUUGGUUUUAGAUACCUGUAAGGCAUCUAGACGGACAUUAAGAGGGGCUGACUCCCAGGCUGCUUCCUAACACUGGUUAGCUCUCAGGCAGCCAAUUAGCUUUGGAUGCCUGUGAGGCACUUGAUGUUGAGACUGGUUGACUGUAGACUGAUAUCCCUUAGUUAAAUUGUCCUCAUGCCUCCUCAUACAGAUAGGCCUAUUGAAUAAAUCUGCCAGAUUAUUUUUAACAUUGCAUAUGCCUAACAUUAUGUGAUAAUACUAAUCACACUCAUAUUGCCUUUCUCUUUCAGUUCAUGAAGAAAUGGCGCCCAGGAAGGUAGGAUGGAAGCGGAAGGCCCUGCAGGUGUCAAAAGGUGGACCAUCUGCAAAGAUCGCAAUUUUCCACCAGUCACCACUGGUUGGUGGAGCCUCGCCCCCAGCCCCAACCCCAUCUAGCCCUGCUGCUCCAUCCACCCUUCCUGCCCCAUCCGGCCCUGCUGCUCCACCAAGCCCUACUGCCCCAUCCCAGCCGGCAUUUCAGAAUGUCCACAGCCUUUUGAGGACAUGCUCAGGGCAUCGGAGCAAAAGGUGAAGUGCACAGCUAGGCAUAGGUUUCUUCAAGACAGGUUUAUAUUUUUAGUGGUAGUGUGGUAGUAACAGUGCUGAGACCAUUUGUGAUGGGAUCUGGGAAAACCAGUCACAUGGUGAAAUUUG